UGGAAUAGUGAUGAAUGCUGUCUUUGUAAGAUGGAUGGGAGCUUAAUAUGCUGUGAUGGUUGUCCUGCUGCCUUUCAUUCAAAGUGUGUAGGUGUUGCCAAUGAUUAUUUGCCAGAGGGUGGUUCUGCCCUGAGUGUGUCAUCGACAGGCAUAAGCCUUGGAUGAGACCUCGAAAGUCACUUCGAGGGGCGGACCUAUUGGGGGUUGAUUGUUAUGGUCGGGUUUUUUUUAGCAGC
rnacentral:misc_RNA from 1 species